CAUUGACUGCCUCCUGCAUCAUGUGCUUGUAGUCACAUGGCUCUAAUUUUUUUUUCCACUGUUAUAGCAUCUUCUACCCUUCUUAAAAGAAGGCUCAAAAACCUGAGGAUAUGCCUAGUGUUUUUCUUUAAAGCACAAAGAAGCUUUACCUAAAAAACCUUUAUGAAUUCCUGCUUUUUGAAAAGUUAAUGGAACUAUGAAGUUACAAAGAUAGUUUUACUCCCUCCUCCUUCCACAUAUUUCAGUAGCUUUGGGGUAAAUUCCACAAUAAGCUUUAAAGUGAAAUUACCUUUCAUUAAAAUAAGUAAAUAUAAUAAUAAAAAUAAAAUAUAAUAAUAAAAAUAAAAAUAAUAAAAAUAAGUAAAUAUAAUAAUGACUUCUAGCUGCAUCAGGUUUCCAACUUUUUUUUUUUUUUUUUUUAAUGAAUAUCGAAUAUGAUAAAGAAAGACAACCAUAGCUAAAGAACAAUAUGGACAACGACGACAACAAAAAAAAGGACAUUGUUGGAGAAAAUCAUACACAACAUCUGGUCUGUAAGGAAAGCACAAUGGGCAUUUGAGGUGUGCAAGCUGCUUGAUCUCUUCUUCAAGGUGAUGAAUCACAUAUGGAAUGGAGUUCGACACAUAGAUGAGAGCAGCCCUAGAGAUGAAGAGAAUGGAGUGAAAAGUAUUGAAGAAAAUAGGUGUGGUGUUCUGCACCAGCAAUACAACACGAUUCCUUGUGCCCUGGCCUCAGGAGGAAAAAGAGGGUGUCAGAGAAGCUGUCACUCCAAAAGUGAGGGAGAUGAACUUCUGUGGAAUACUGAGAGCUCUUUUAACAGUGGGGGCCUGAGUGCUUGUGUUGUGUGUGUGUGUGUGUAGCAAAGUACUUAAAUUCCAAGGUGUAUGGUGCAGCUUUCUGUCUUGAACAAUCUUGUUUAAAUUAAUGUAGCAGGAGACCUAGAAAUCCAUGACUUCCCUACCUGUUGACUGGUUACUGAAAUCGUUUUGUCUUGUAUUAAAUGACUGACAAAGUGAUUUGUGCCAACCAUUACAACCGGUAUUGGUGACAUUUGGAAAAGAUUUAUUUGGGUCAAAUAAAUAUAUGGAAUUAAAAAAAAAAAAAAAUGUG
rnacentral:lncRNA from 1 species